UUGUUGUGGACAGAGAGGCAGACUGAUC
rnacentral:piRNA from 1 species